GACAGAGGUGCCGAGCGUUAGGCGGAAUCACUGGGCUUAAAGCGUGUGUAGGCGGAUCGUUAAGUACCUUGUGAAAUCCCACGGCUCAACCGUGGAACUGCUGGGUAUACUGGCGAUCUUGAGCCACCUAGGGGCGAGCGGAACAAGCGGUGGAGCGGUGAAAUGCGUAGAUAUCGCUUGGAACGCCAAUGGUGAAAACAGCUCGCUGGGGGUGUGCUGACGCUGAGACACGAAAGCCAGGGAGCGAACGGG
rnacentral:rRNA from 1 species